rnacentral:rRNA from 1 species
UAGUCAUAUGCUUGUCUCAAAGAUUAAGCCAUGCAUGUCUAAGUAUACGCAAAUUAUACUGUGAAACUGCGAAUGGCUCAUUAAAUCAGUUAUAGUUUAUUUGAUGUUUCUUGCUACAUGGAUAACUGUGGUAAUUCUAGAGCUAAUACAUGCGUAAAAAGCCCCGACUUCUGGAAGGGGUGUAUUUAUUAGAUAAAAACCAUCCUCCUCGGAGUUUGGUGAUUCAUAAUAACUUCUCGAAUCGCACGGCCUUGUGCUGGCGAUGCUUCAUUCAAAUAUCUGCCCUAUCAACUGUCGAUGGUAGGAUAGAGGCCUACCAUGGUUGCAACGGGUAACGGGGAAUAAGGGUUCGAUUCCGGAGAGGGAGCCUGAGAAACGGCUACCACAUCCGAGGAAGGCAGCAGGCGCGCAAAUUACCCGAUCCCGACACGGGGAGGUAGUGACGAUAAAUAACGAUGCGGGGCCCUUUUGGGUCUUGUAAUU